rnacentral:lncRNA from 1 species
UUGGAAAAUUGUUUUUGGAAAGAGAAUUUAACUUUGUAAUGAUUCUUGUAUGAAUAUAUACAAAGUAGUUAUCUCGUUUAGUUUUGGAAAUUGUUUAGAAAAAUAUAACUCGGUAAUGAUUCUAGUAUGAAUAUAUACCAAGUGGUGAUUUUCUAAAGAUAUCUUGAAAGGUGUGAGGUGUGAAAAUUGUUUUUAGAUUGUGAGCCAACAAUUAAGAGUUAUACCGACCCAAGGUCUUUAUGAGCAUUUCCUAUCCUUAUGAGGGUAAAACUGUCCUUAUUAUUGAGAAAUAAGUAGUUUUAUCCUUUGGAUGUUUAAGGGUC